AUUAGUGCCCUCUAAUGGCUCGGACAAUGACCCUAAUUUUUUUUUACACUCAUCUACAUACACUCUAAUUAUGUUGCAUAAUAAUUGUGCUAUCGAUAUCGAUAAGAAUAAAACUAAUAGGAAUAAUAUCUCACAAUAUUUUACAGCACAGUGCACAUCAAAAAUCUAAACAUUACUAAACACAGUAAUAAACAGCCAACAUAGCGGUUAGAUUAUUGUGGGGGGAGGGGCAAUUUACGAUCUUUCAUUUUAAAGUGACUAAUAUUGUCUUAUAAUGAAGGUACUUAUGGGUUUAUCUUUGAAGGUGCUGUGCAUCCACGAGCCGGUGAGAGUCCGCUGGUCUUGAUAUUAAACAAUGUCAUAGAUGUAUUAAUAUACUAUUAUUAACCCAUUAUAAUGUCUGUAGUUGUUGUCGUACACACAUUUUUUUUUUGUUAUUUGUUAGAUGAAUAAAAUUGGCGUAGUGGUACGCUCAAAUAUUUUUAAUUGUAUUACAAGUAAAUCACAGCAAGUCGGUUCAUGCAACUUUUACCCUUAGACACGGUCAAUGCCCAAAUGUUUCAAUUAAUAACAUACCUAUCCCACCACUCAAUGCUGUUAAAUAUUUAGGAUUAAUCCUUGAACAAAAAUUAACGUGGAACAAACAUAUAAGAGCUAAAAGAUUGAUCCUUAACGCUCGAUGUAGAUCGCUAAAAACAAUAUUAUCAAAAAAUAAAUUUACUAGCUUAAAAACAAAACUACUUGUAUAUAAAACUCUCCUAAAGCCAAUAUGGACAUACGGGUUACAACUCUGGGGAUCGGCCAAAAAAUCAAAUAUAAACAAAAUUCAAGUCUUUCAGAACAUUACCCUUAGAAAAAUCACUAACGUUCCCUUCUACGUCUCUAAUUUAACUCUCCACCAAGAUCUAGACUUGAAAAUCACCCUAACCCACUAAUAAAAGAGCUACAUACCUUCUCACUCCCUGGAAAUCCACAACGUAGACUUAAAAGGAAAUGGUGUCGUGACCAUUUAAAUGAAAUAUCCCUUAAUUACCCUAAAUAUAACGUCAAGUAAGUAAGUGCCACUAAUGGGUGGCUUCUUCUUCAAGCAAUCCAUGUUUUUUUUUAAACUCUUAUCUUAUACGCUUAUUGUGCAAAAUGUAUAGAUUGUGUAUGUGCAUUUGUAAAA